CUGCCUCAGAUUGAACGCUGGCGGAAUGCCUUACACAUGCAAGUCGAACGGCAGCACAGGUGCUUGCACCUGAUGGCGAGUGGCGAACGGGUGAGUAAUACAUCGGAACGUGCCUUAUCGUGGGGGAUAACGCAGCGAAAGCUGCGCUAAUACCGCAUACGACCUGAGGAUGAAAGCGGGGGAUCGCAAGACCUCGCGCGAUUGGAGCGGCCGAUGCCUGAUUAGGUAGUUGGUGGGGUAAAAGCCCACCAAGGCGACGAUCUAUAGCUGGUCUGAGAGGACGAUCAGCCACACUGGGACUGAGACACGGCCCAGACUCCUACGGGAGGCAGCAGUGGGGAAUUUUGGACAAUGGGCGCAACCCUGAUCCAGCCAUGCCGCGUGAAUGAAGAAGGCCUUCGGGUUGU
rnacentral:rRNA from 1 species